AUGGCAGACCACCUUCAAGUUCAACAACAACACCAACACCAACUAGAGCUCCCUUCGGGGUUUAGGUUCCACCCUACCGAUGAGGAGAUCAUCACCUCGUACCUGGUCCCCAAGGUGCUCAACCCAACCUUCACCGCGAUAGCGAUCGCGGAGGUGGAUCUGAAUAAGAACGACCCGUAUGAGCUCCCCAAGAAGGCAAAGAUGGGGGAGAAGGAGUGGUACUUCUACUGUCAGAAGGACCGCAAGUAUCCCACGGGGAUACAGACCAACCGGGCCACGAAAGCCGGCUACUGGAAGGCCACUGGCAAGGACAAGGAGAUCUUCCACCCACUGCCCACUCUCAUCGGCAUGAAGAAGACGCUCGUGUUCUAUAAGGGCAGGGCGCCUAGGGGGGAGAAGACCAACUGGGUCAUGCACGAGUACAGGCUUGAGAUCAGCAAGCAGCCUGCAUAUGGCCCAUCUACCGCCAUCGCCAAAGCUGCCGCCAUUAAUGCAUCUUCCAAGAAGGAGCGUGUGGUUUGCAAAAUCUUCCAUAAGAACAUUGGAGUCAAGAAGGUGGUGACCCCGUCGUACGCCAUGCACAUGCCCAUGUUCAUAGGAGGAGAGCAGCAACAGGGCUCCCUCAACUCAUGUACGUUCCCGCCUCCCAUGGACUACGGCGCAUCGUUGUCGCUGGCGCCUCCGUUGUUUCUAUCUGAAGAUUCUUCGUACCAAUUGCAUGCCGCCAGAGUCGGCUUGGCGAUGACGGGCAGCUUGGUGCUCCCCAUGGUGAACAACCCCCACCACGAGAUGAUGGGCGGCAACCCAAUGGUGUCCUACCAACAACAACAGAUGAUGCAGAUGCAGAUGCAAAUGGGUGCAGACCAGUGCUUCAUGGUUGGGGUUGAGCCUGGGAGCGAGUCGUCGUCCAUGGUGUCCAGAGAGGGCGUUGACCGGCUGGGCAACAACGUCCAAGGCAAUGGCGCCACAACAACCAUUGACAGUUAA
rnacentral:rRNA from 1 species